CUGUCUGUGGGUGCUACUGCUAGAUGGUAGCUUGUCCCCAGCCUGCAAUGAUAGCCUGCAGACACUGUGUUGUACAGAGGAGCCUGCAGCACUGAAACACCUGCAAACAAGUGGCUAGGCUAGUUUGCUCUUAAAAACACCAGGGAGCCAGCCAUGACUUGGAAAUUCUGUCUCUGGCAACUUCUUCUCUCCAUACUGCAAGAAUUUUGAGCUAUUUGCAGUCAACAGUCUCCUUCACAUGACAGCAUGCAAAAACACACCUAAGUAAAGCUGUAACAGCUAUCAUGAAGCAAAACAAGUUUGUCGUGAUCUGGGGAGAAAUUCCUCUUCCUCAGAAGGUGGAAAAGCUCUCUAAAGAAACGAGGCUGCUUGGCAAACCUAAAGAAGGCUGAAAAACCACAGCUGAAAUAGAUCAGGAAUCCAAGUGCUGCCCAUGCUGAGUAACAGCUUCAGGAUUACCGUGAGGAUUAUUACUGCAGGGGAACAACAAAGCCAUGACAAUUUAUUGUCUCCUCUGCAAGGUUAACAAGUUGCAGCACUGAUCAGCUGAAGCACUAUUGUGUGCGUGCUAGGAAGAAAGGGGGGAAGAACAAUGUUAAUUCUAUCAAAGCUGUGCUCCCUCCUAACCAAAAGGGACAGCAGAGCAUCCAAAGGGCUGCAUCUUGGACCUGCCAAGGAGGAAAGGAUUGCAUCAGAGAUAACGCACUGAGCAAGCAGAUCUGUCCAAAGCUGGCCUGCGCAGAAGCUGUUGGCAAUGGACACAAGAGGCACAUUGAUGGGAAAUGUCUUGAGAAAAGGGAACUGUACCCAAGAUGAAAGGAGCUGCAGUGCACAUCCUGCAGGGUUUCAGGAGGGAAGAACCAGUGUAAGACAACUAGCAGUUUAUGGAAAGGCUAGAAGGCUGUGGACAGAUUGGCAGCCAGCUGCAUUCUAGCAGGGCAAAGCAAGGGAAACAGUGAGUGAGCUGUUGGGUAGUAGCCCUGCUUUCGUGCAAGACAGAGGAUGGUGCGUGGGAGAUGGAAGCAGAAACUGCAGCUGCAAGCAGGGCAGGUGGCAAACCCCUAUUGUGUCAGGAAUGAUUGCUCAUCUGCAGAAAGGACAACCUGUGCAUCCCUCUGGGGCUUCCCCUGAUGCAGCUGGUGCCUAUCACAAGCCAUGGAUCUGCACCCACUGCUGUAGAACCCGAAGCAUGUCAGGGAGCUCAAUGCAGCAGUG